UCUAUCUCUGCUGUUGUUUCAAGUCGCCCUCAGUGUAUCCUUUUGGGAAUGAAAGAAUGCGUUGGUUGCAUAUUCCUUGAAGAGUUGCAGCUUUUUUCCCCGUGCAGAACAAGGUGCUGAAUGCCUCUGCUUCUUCCUCUGACGUUUAACGCAGUGUUUAACAAAGGGAUGGUGCGGCCACGAGGAGCAACUUCGUAGGCGGUGAGGCCGAAUGUCACACUGUGCUGAGGGGGCACGUGGGCUCGUGGAGAGGUGUUGGGAAAUGAAUCACCAGUUUUCUGCACAGAGCUGAAGACGUGAGCAAAGCUCAGAAAAAUAAUGGAAAUAAGAAGCAUCAGCUCUAAUAAGAAAGCACUGCGAGUCCUGAUGGAUUGAGAACAAAACCUUCCACACAGAAAGAGAAAACAGCGCAGGAAAAUGCCCUUUUCCCCCAGUUGACAGAAGCACGUACACAGCAGGAAAACUGCAGCUCGCCCACGGCAGCUCUGUGUCCCUCAGCUCUGCUCCACUCUACAAAGUGAUGUCAUCAUGUACUGCUUUAGUCCUGAGGUGCCUCCAAUGGCCGCUGUGCCAUCUCAGCUGCUCUUCAGAGCUUCUGCAAAUGAACUCCAUCUCUAUCUCCACAGCAACAACUCACAAACAGAGGCCUAUGACUUCAGCUGAGGAGCAUGCAGCAGGCAUUGAUGAGCUGCCAAGCAACGAAGAUUUGGUUUCAGGGUGGAUGCAGAAGCCAGAUAGUGACAUUUUUCUUGGGUUUUUGUCUGCCCUCCUUCCGGUGAAUUCCCACUGAAGAUAAUUUGGGCUCCGAGAGAAGAAACCCCUCCCCGGGAACUUGUUAUUUCAGUAACAGCUGAGUAAGGCCCAUGGAGGUCUUCAGGCUUCAGACAACCCUUUGGAAGCAAUAAUAACAGCAAGGAAAGAAACAAGAUGGAAAGCAUGGCCCGUGGCCAUCGAUCUACCCAGGCAGUUUGCUGCUGGUGGCACUUCAGCUGGAUGCAAAACCAGCACGAAAAAAAAAACCAAACCACGAUCCAAGUACAAGGUGCCAACAAGUUCAUCUUUAAUUAGCAGUUAAUUAGUUGUUUUGCUCAUUCGUCAGAGCACGAAUGUUUCCCAGCUGUGUAUCUAAACAGUAUUCCUCAGCCUUUCAGGCCCCCCUGUGAUCCCUGCAUCACUGAACAGCCCUGGAGUUCCCUCCAUUCCCCCCGUGGGUGCAGUCCCGCAGCCAUGGGAGCUCUCAGUGGGGGCGAUGCUCUGCGGUGCCUCAGUUCCAGCCCUGCUCUGUGCUCCCUGCCCAGCACUGCAGGGCUUUCCAGUCCUCCUACACGAGAGAGCAAUGCUUUCUCUGAAGCGUCCUUAGGCAGCCUACCUGCCUGGUGAAGGAUGACUAUUCCUAAAUGGCUUUGCAGUCUUUUGAAAAACCAGUCAUGAAAUAAUUGAGUCAAGCUUUCGUGAAAUAGAUCUUAAUUUUAUUCUAUGGAUGUCAUAGAUCUGAAAUUCUCAAAUGCUGAUGAACUUCCGUACAAACGCUUUAUGAUACUGGAAGUUCCCAGUGCUUGCAGUGCAGUCCUGCAGCGGUGUGGUGUUGGCAUAAGAACAAAUGGGAGGAGAGCGUUAAGAGAAUGUAAAAUAAAGAUAACUCUGAAGUAAACCCAAACAGUAGCCAACCAAUUACCUUAUCAUUCCCACUUUGCAGCUCGGGCAGAAUUUAUU
rnacentral:lncRNA from 1 species